GAGGACAUUAUGAGAUUCUUGGCUACCAUGAGGACAAGUUGAUUGUUCAAUUACAUUUUCUACGUCUAUUUCGAAGCGUCGAUGGCGGAUGUCCGCACACAAAAUGCCUUGAAGGGUCUGGAGGAAGUUGCAAGUUUCCUGCGUGUCCUUGGCUGCUAUUCGUGCAACACAAUAACGAU